UCGGAUUGCAGUCUGCAACUCGAGUGCAUGAAGCUGGAAUCGCUAGUAAUCGCGAAUCAGAAUGUCGCGGUGAAUACGUUCCCGGGUCUUGUACACACCGCCCGUCACACCAUGGGAGUCGGGAAUGCCCGAAGCCGGUGACCCAACCUUAGGGAGGGAGCCGUCGAAGGCAGGCCUGGUAACUGGGGUGAAGUCGUAACAAGGUAGC
rnacentral:rRNA from 1 species